rnacentral:rRNA from 1 species
AUACGGAGGAUCCAAGCGUUAUCCGGAAUUAUUGGGUUUAAAGGGUCCGCAGGCUGUUUGUUAAGUCAGAGGUGAAAUCCUACCGCUCAACGGUAGAACUGCCUUUGAUACUGGCAAACUUGAGUUAUUGUGAAGUAGUUAGAAUGUGUAGUGUAGCGGUGAAAUGCAUAGAUAUUACACAGAAUACCAAUUGCGAAGGCAGAUUACUAACAAUUAACUGACGCUGAGGGACGAAAGCGUGGGUAGCGAACAGGAUUAGAUACCCCGGUAGUCCACGCCGUAAACGAUGGACACUAGUUGUUGGGAUUUAUCUCAGUGACUAAGCGAAAGUGAUAAGUGUCCCACCUGGGGAGUACGGUCGCAAGAUUGAAACUCAAAUGAAUUGACGGG